AAUAUUGGCAAAAUCCUCGAAAGAGGAUGACGCAAAACCAUGGAUCUACAGCCUCAUUUUUUCGUUUGAGGCCAUGAUUGCCAGGUUGCAG
rnacentral:ncRNA from 1 species